rnacentral:rRNA from 1 species
UACGUAGGGGGCAAGCGUUGUUCGGAAUUACUGGGCGUAAAGGGCGCGUAGGCGGUUGGAUAAGUCAGCUGUGAAAACCACGAGCUCAACUUGUGGCCUGCAGUUGAAACUGUCUGGCUAGAGUGUGGGAGAGGGAAGUGGAAUUCCUGGUGUAGCGGUGAAAUGCGUAGAUAUCAGGAGGAACACCGGUGGCGAAGGCGGCUUCCUGGACCACAACUGACGCUGAGGCGCGAAAGCUAGGGGAGCAAACAGG